UUUGAAGAAAAAUAAAACUUGUGAUAUUUUAUUCACAUAUUAAUACAUUACAAUGCUAUUUACACAAACUUUAUAAUGACUUCAUUCUCUUUCAUACAAUUGCACUUGAAACACGAUAAAAAGUUGUCAUUCUCUCCACUUCAUUGUAGUUAAUAGCACUUUUUGUAUAGACACAUGGCAAUAUAAUACAAAUUUUCAACUUUUAAUGCCAAUUUUUCAAAAUUUAAGAUUGUUUCUGAGAGGACAGAAGAAAUAAUCAGUCCAUAUAUGAUGAAAAUAGACUCAGGCAAUAAGGAAAAAGUGUUAACCAAUGAAAAGCUUUUUUUUUUUAAAGUACCUUCUUUCAAAAGUUUUAAUGUGAAUUCUAUUCAUUUUCUCAAAAAAAGUGUUUAUUAAACUAUUUACAUAUAUUAAAACAUGUUCAAUAUGAAUCAAUAGCAAGAUGUCACUACUUUCUGAUAGUUUAAGAUAGGCAAUUACACACUAUUCUAAGCAUUGGGAAUACAAUUGAUCUGUACAGUCUACAGAGGAAAUUGGUUGGACAGGUUUCAUGGUGUAUAAAAGAAAACAGGAAAGACAAGAUUGGAAGAAAUUAAAGAUGUGUUUAAUUAACAAACAAACAAAAAAACGCAUAUAAAUGAGCCAUUAGAAUAAGACAAGACAAUAUUUUAAAAUCUAACAUCUGUUGGAAGAUUAUAACAGACACUCAUUUACUCUGUCAAAGCAACCAAUAAAAUUGAAAGAUGAGAUGGUUAUUCUAUACAACAUAUCAGAUUCUAAUGCAAUCUCUUUCAUUGGAUUUAGCUAAAUAACAUUUUGUGUAAAAAAAAAUUGCAACUGAGGACCUACAUGGGAAGAGUUGACAUAUUGAAUCAUUAAAUCCAACACAAAUAGCUAGGUUACCAAAUUUGCAACAAUAAAAUCUGUGAUAUACAUCUUUAGGGCUUUGCAUACAAUUCAAUUAUUCCCUAAAUCCAUAGGUUUUGAUCCAUGUUAAUGAAAUACUGAUAUGUGUGUCAAUGAAGUUAUAAGGUCUAUACAAACAAGACAUUUUUUCAUUGCAUCUAUCUACCUUUCCAAUCCAUUCCCCUAGAAAAUCACAUUACACCAUUGACAUGGACGCAUCAACAUGGUAAAUUCAGAAAAAAGGAAAUAUAGAGACCCAACUAUUCAUUAAAACAAAAUCUUCCUAUUAAUUUUAAAAAUUAAAAAAAAAAUCUUUCAGCAGGUAAAAAGUUUGUCCAUUUGGCAUUUAACCAAACUGAAAUGUCAAUAAACACAUAAAUGUAACAGACAUGGAUUACAAUUCGGAUUUUUCUAAUGUUAAUUCUAGAAUUAAUAUAUAUUCUUUAAUAAUAUCUUUAUAUAGUUUUUUUAGAAAGAAACUUUACAUGUUAUUAAAUAGGUGUAUUAAAAUGGAUUUCAUACAAAUUAUGGUACACCAUGUUUAAAUAUACAAUUGAACUUUAAUAUUUUAAUGCACUUGCAAUUGGUUUUUACAGUAAAUCAAGUUGCUCAGUAAAAUAUUUAAAAAUAAUUUCUGUUCUGAUAAUAUACUUGUUACAUCUUACUGUGAGCAUAAGUCACCCUGCUACUUUGUUCAAUAAAAAAAAUUUUCAAUGGUAUUUUUAAACUGUGCACAUAUCAAAAUCAGAAAAGUAGAAAAGAUAAAAGUAUAUAGCUUUAACACUUGAUACCAACAAUGCAUUAACAAAACUUAUAUUCUUUAACAUUCUAUAUCAAAACAUACAUUUAAAACAAUCGUUCAUAAUGAAUAACUCUAAUGUAUAUUUCAAAUUACAAUUCAAAAUGUACUAUCAUAUAUUUGUAUAUUGUGUUACCAAGUUUUUUUUUAGUUCUACUCAAUAUAUUCAAAGCAAUAAAAAAUUCCACAUACCAAUACAUGUACAUGUGAUAAUUCAUAGAAUACAUGUAUACAAGAUGUACAUAAAAAAAUAAAUAAAACUUUUUUGCCAUCAUAAACUUUUUCCCUAUUUCAAAACCAGUUGUACAAUAGUUCUUGUUAUUCUAAAUUUUACAAGUAGUCUAAAUAUAUCUUUCAAUGUUUGUCAUCAGAUCAAAUCACCUUAUAUAAGGGGUUUCAUUAUUUUUCAUGUCUACUGGUACUUUCCACGUU
rnacentral:lncRNA from 1 species